rnacentral:rRNA from 1 species
GACGAACGCUGGCGGCGUGCCUAACACAUGCAAGUCGAACGGAAAGGCCCUGCUUUUGUGGGGUGCUCGAGUGGCGAACGGGUGAGUAACCCGUGAGUACCCUGCCCCUGACUUUGGGGUAACUUCAGGCAACUGGGGCUCAUACCGGAUAGGAGUUCCUGCUGCAUGGUGGGGGUUGGAUAGUUUCGGCGGUUGGGGAUGGACUCGCGGCUUAUCAGCUUGUUGGUGGGGUAGUGGCUUACCAAGGCUUUGACGGGUAGCCGGCCUGAGAGGGUGACCGGCCACAUUGGGACUGAGAUACGGCCCAGACUCCUACGGGAGGCAGCAGUGGGGAAUAUUGCACAAUGGGCGGAAGCCUGAUGCAGCAACGCCGCGUGCGGGAUGACGGCCUUCGGGUUGUAAACCGCUUUCGCCUGUGACGAAGCGUGAGUGACGGUAAUGGGUAAAGAAGCACCGGCUAACUACGUG